rnacentral:rRNA from 1 species
UACGUAGGCAGCAAGCGUUGUUCGGAGUUACUGGGCGUAAAGGGUGUGUAGGCGGUCUACUAAGUCUGGUGUGAAAUCUCCCGGCUCAACUGGGAGGGUGCGCCGGAAACUGGAAGGCUAGAGUGCGGGAUGGGAGAGUGGAAUUCCUGGUGUAGCGGUGAAAAUGCGUAGAUAUCAGGAGGAACACCUGUGGUGUAGACGGCUCUCUGGACCGCAACUGACGCUGAGACACGAAAGCGUGGGUAGCAAACAGG